UACGGAGGAUGCGAGCGUUAUCCGGAUUUAUUGGGUUUAAAGGGUGCGUAGGCGGUUUUUUAAGUUAGUGGUUAAACGUCGGGGCUUCACCUUGAUUUGCCAUUAAUACUGUAAGACUCGAGUUCAGACGAGGUAGGCGGAAUAAGUUAAGUAGCGGUGAAAUGCUUAGAGAUCAUACAGAACACCGAUUGCGAAGGCAGCUUACCAAGCUACUUCUGACGUUGAGGCACGAAAGCGUGGGGAGCAAACAGG
rnacentral:rRNA from 1 species